rnacentral:tRNA from 1 species
AGGGGUAGUGGCUCAGUGGUACAGCCUCUGCUUGCCGUGCAGAAGGUCCCAGGUUCAAUUCUUGAUAUCUCUA